rnacentral:rRNA from 1 species
AAUAUUGGACAAUGGGGGCAAUCCUGAUCCAGCCAGGCCGCGUGUUUGAAGAAGGUAUUCGGAUUGUAAAGCACUUUAAGUUGGGAGGAAGGGUUGUAGGCUAAUACCUUGCAAUUUUGUCGUUAGCAACAGAAUAAGCACAGGAUAACUCUGUGCCAGCAGCCGCGGUAAUACAGAGGGUGCAAGCGUUAAUCGGAAUUACUGGGCGUAAAGCGCGCGUAGGUGGUUCAGUAAGAUGGGUGUGAAAUCCCCGGGCUUAACCUGGGAACUGCUUUCAUAACUGCUGAGCUAGAGUACGGUAGAGGGUAGUGGAAUUUCCUGUGUAGCGGUGAAAUGCGUAGAUAUAGGAAGGAACACCAGUGGCGAAGGCGACUACCUGGACUGAUACUGACACUGAGGUGCGAAAGCGUGGGGAGCAAACA